UACGGAGGGAGCUAGCGUUGUUCGGAAUUACUGGGCGUAAAGCGCACGUAGGCGGCUUUGUAAGUUAGGGGUGAAAGCCUGGUGCUCAACACCAGAACUGCCCUUAAGACUGCAUCGCUUGAAUCCAGGAGAGGUGAGUGGAAUUCCGAGUGUAGAGGUGAAAUUCGUAGAUAUUCGGAAGAACACCAGUGGCGAAGGCGGCUCACUGGACUGGUAUUGACGCUGAGGUGCGAAAGCGUGGGGAGCAAACAGG
rnacentral:rRNA from 1 species